rnacentral:tRNA from 1 species
UGCGGUGUAGAUCAGCGGCCAGAUCACCGGGCUCAUAUCCCGGCCGUCGUCGGUUCGAGUCCGACCUCCGCAA